GCCCUCCUCCACUAUCCCCAAACUCGAAGCAUAAUCCUCAGAAUCGCCGCGGCCUCUUUGAACAACACCGACAUGCAGGCCGUAGUAGCCGAGGAACAAGAAGAAGAGCGAGUACAACAGAAGUCGGAGGUUCAACAAAUGAAUGAACCCAUCAGACCCUCGGCUUCUUCUUCGCCGUCACCGUCAUCAGUGAAUGCUGCUCUCGAGAAAGACCUGAAAAAGGGUUGAAUGUGGCAUGCCCACCAAGCAAUGCGAUGUUCUGAGAAGACAUAAGGAUUUAAGAAAAUGAAGAAACUAAUGUAAAUAAUGUGAUUAAUUACACUCGCUCUGCCAUGUCUGUUGAGGCAAAAACGUGACUUAAUCUUUUUUUUUUUUGCUAGUAUAUGUACUUCCGGAUCUGUAAUAUAAUAAAUGUACAAGACGCUGACAGCAUCCAUACAAAGAUAUUUUCAGCU